AGUGAACGCUGGCGGUAGGCCUAACACAUGCAAGUCGAACGGCAGCACAGUAAGAGCUUGCUCUUACGGGUGGCGAGUGGCGGACGGGUGAGGAAUACAUCGGACUCUACUUUUUCGUGGGGGAUAACGUAGGGAAACUUACGCUAAUACCGCAUACGACCUACGGGUGAAAGCAGGGGAUCUUCGGACCUUGCGCGAUUGAAUGAGCCGAUGUCGGAUUAGCUAGUUGGCGGGGUAAAGGCCCACCAAGGCGCCGAUCGGUAGCUGGUCUGAGAGGAUGGUCAGCCACACUGGAAGUGAGACACGGUCCAGACUCCUACGGGAGGCAGCAGUGGGGAAUAUUGGACAAUGGGCGCAAGCCUGAUCCAGCCAGACCGCGUGGGUGAAGAAGGCCUUCGGGUUGGAAAGCCCUUUUGUUGGGAAAGAAAAGCAGCAGGUUAAUACCCCGCUGUUCUGACGGUACCCAAAGAAGAAGCACCGGCUAACUUCGUG
rnacentral:rRNA from 1 species